rnacentral:rRNA from 1 species
UACGUAGGGUGCAAGCGUUGUCCGGAAUUAUUGGGCGUAAAGAGCUCGUAGGCGGUCUGUCGCGUCGGAUGUGAAAAUCAGGGCUCAACCCUGGACCUGCAUUCGAUACGGGCAGACUAGAGUUCGGUAGGGGAGACUGGAAUUCCUGGUGUAGCGGUGAAAUGCGCAGAUAUCAGGAGGAACACCGGUGGCGAAGGCGGGUCUCUGGCCGAAACUGACGCUGAGGAGCGAAAGCGUGGGGGAGCAAACAGG